UACGGGGGGGGCAAGCGUUGUUCGGAAUUACUGGGCGUAAAGGGCUCGUAGGCGGCCAACUAAGUCAGACGUGAAAUCCCCAGGCUCAACCUGGGAACUGCGUCUGAUACUGGAUGGCUUGAAUCCGGGAGAGGGAUGCAGAAUUCCAGGUGUAGCGGUGAAAUGCGUAGAUAUCCGGAGGAACACCGAUGGCGAAGGCAGCUGCCUGGCCUGACACUGACGCUGAGGUGCGAAAGCGUGGGGAGCGAACGGG
rnacentral:rRNA from 1 species